GAAAUGCGAUAAGUAAUGUGAAUUGCAGAAUUCAGUGAAUCAUCGAAUCUUUGAACGCAUCUUGCGCUCCUUGGUAUUCCUUGGAGCAUGCCUGUUUGAGUAUCAUGAAAUCUUCAAAGUAAAUCUUUUGUUAACUCAAUUGGUUUCUACUUUGGUAUUGGAGGUCUUUGCAGCUUCACACCUGCUCCUCUUUGUUCAUUAGCUGGAUCUCAGUGUUAUGCUUGGUUCCACUCGGCGUGAUAAGUUAUCUAUCGCUGAGGACACUGUAAAAGGUGGCCAAGGUAAAUUCAGAUGAACCGCUUCUAAUAGUCCAUUGACUUGGACAAUACUUUUAUGAUCUGAUCUCAAAUCAGGUAGGACUACCCGCUGAGCUUAAGC
rnacentral:misc_RNA from 1 species